rnacentral:rRNA from 1 species
UGCAGUCGAGCGGACAGAUGGGAGCUUGCUCCCUGAUGUUAGCGGCGGACGGGUGAGUAACACGUGGGUAACCUGCCUGUAAGACUGGGAUAACUCCGGGAAACCGGGGCUAAUACCGGAUGGUUGUUUGAACCGCAUGGUUCAGACAUAAAAGGUGGCUUCGGCUACCACUUACAGAUGGACCCGCGGCGCAUUAGCUAGUUGGUGAGGUAACGGCUCACCAAGGCGACGAUGCGUAGCCGACCUGAGAGGGUGAUCGGCCACACUGGGACUGAGACACGGCCCAGACUCCUACGGGAGGCAGCAGUAGGGAAUCUUCCGCAAUGGACGAAAGUCUGACGGAGCAACGCCGCGUGAGUGAUGAAGGUUUUCGGAUCGUAAAGCUCUGUUGUUAGGGAAGAACAAGUGCCGUUCAAAUAGGGCGGCACCUUGACGGUACCUAACCAGAAAGCCACGGCUAACUACGUGCCAGCAGCCGCGGUAAUACGUAGGUGGCAAGCGUUGUCCGGAAUUAUUGGGCGUAAAGGGCUCGCAGGCGGUUUCUUAAGUCUGAUGUGAAAGCCCCCGGCUCAACCGGGGAGGGUCAUUGGAAACUGGGGAACUUGAGUGCAGAAGAGGAGAGUGGAAUUCCACGUGUAGCGGUGAAAUGCGUAGAGAUGUGGAGGAACACCAGUGGCGAAGGCGACUCUCUGGUCUGUAACUGACGCUGAGGAGCGAAAGCGUGGGGAGCGAACAGGAUUAGAUACCCUGGUAGU